AUAGUACUCCCUCUCCGUCCCAAAAUUCUUGUCUUAAAUUUGUUUAGAAAUAGAUGUACCUAAAUACUAAAACAUGACUAGAUACAUUCAUAUCUAGAUAAAUCUAAGACAAAAAAAUUAGGACGGAUGGAGUACUAA
rfam:Hordeum vulgare subsp. vulgare, WGS project CAJW01000000 data, contig: morex_contig_122127